ACCAUGUCUAAUGGCCCCUGCUGAGACAAGCGUCCUGCUCCCUGCUGCUCCCAGCACCAGUUGGCAUCAAGAGGAUUGUGGAUAAAUAAAAACCAUAGAAAUUGGGGCUUGAAAUGUUGGGGUGUAGCCUCCCCCAAAACCUUAAACCCGCAUCUGUUGCUUGCUGUUGUCAUGUACAUGAAAGUUGAUCACACAUGGGAUAAGAUGUGUCUCCUCAGCUCCUCUCUGUUUCAACACAAACAUGGCAGAAUAUUUCCUUUCUUCAAUCUUAUUUUAUUAGAUGGAUUUUUUUACAUUUUAAUCUUUUUGUCUAUGUUGGCGUUAAUGCUGAGGUUCUGUAGGCCUUGUUUCCACUUAGUGCUUGAAUAGUGGGUAAUCUCACUUGCUGGUAACAUCCUGAAGAAGAUGUCACUGAGGGGUUCCUGGCAAGUUGCUCCAACGACCUUUCCACUGAUUCUCACCUCUAUUAAAGAUUUAUACAUUGAAUUAUUUAACACAUAGGAACUUCAUACUAUGGCCCAGUGAAGUCACCAUGCGGUAAAUUGGUUAAUAGACCAAUAACAAAGAGAGCUCCAAACCUCUGCCAAUAACAGCUAGUUUUCUGUGUUACCCUCCCCACUCAGACCACUCCCAGACAGUCCUAGCAAAAUUCUUGCUUGAGAAAUUGUUUUUUUUGCUAAAAAGCUGUUUUGGUCCAUUUGAAUGGAAAUCUAUUACAAUAAGGUACUUAAUUGUUAC
rnacentral:lncRNA from 1 species